UUCAGAUUUGUUCUAGUAUAAGCCCGGUUGACACUUUCUACUUUUUGAGUGUUUGUAUUGAGUUUUGUUUUAAGAACUGCAGUUUUGCCGAGUCGAAGUUCUAGGCAUUUUCUUAACAAUUCUUUAUCGCCUUCUUUCAUUUUUAGAACUGAAUCUGCAGGUAAAUAGGCUGGUUUCCAUGCCUUGAUCCGCCUGCCCGAACACACGAAUGAAUGCCUUUGACACAGUGUUGAACAGUUGCCACUCACACAGGCCACGAUGGAAUCGAUGGUGUGUUUCAUUCUCAGCAAUGGUGUAGACCGCUUGAGUUGCAGGCUGGAGGGGUGUGCUCGAGUUCCCACCGAAAGGUCUGUUGUUGUAACGGCAGUCUCCUUCAACACUUAUCUUGUGAUCACUGGAAAUCUUCCAAGGCAUCGGGAACAGCUGGGUGAGGCCGAAGUAACCGCAUAUUGCCAGUUGUCCCCUGUGAAUAGGUGACCACAUAUGAAGAUCACCUCGACUCGUUGAUGGCUUAGCCACUGCAUCAAAGUCUUCCCUGGACAGCCUGGUACAGGCCAAAUCAGACCAAUACAGUGACACUCCUCAAAGAGUUAUCUCCCCUUGGCCAGUCGUCAACAUAUAACCAAGUGACUUUCGUGAAGUGCAAAAUGUUAGUAUUCAUGUUGGAGCAAUACAAUUUAUAAACCGAAAAA